GAAGCUCAGGCCCUUCCUGGCCCCUUGAUCUCCUGCACUGAGCUGUGGUGAGCACAUCCGGGUCCCGCUGGAUGUAUGUGUGGGCAGGGGGGGUGCCCUGGGUUGGGUCAAUGAUGAGAACCCUAUAUUGUGUUGAAGAGAGGUGAUGACUUAAAAUUACCAUGCUCAAUGAUUACGCUGAGGCCCAACCUAGGUGAGAAAUUUGGAGGAGGAUGCUGGGAUCCCGAGAUUUCCGGCAGGGCCACUGUAUUUUGGGCUGGAGCCCUGGAGGCCCUGAAAGGUAUCUGGAGGAGGCCCAACUCUGUCUCUGCACUCCUCUGUGAGGCAGCCCAGGCUCCCUGU